ensembl:lncRNA
AUGUCUAUUAUACGCCCUACAGUAUAUGCUCUUUAUAACUCCUCCUUUAAAGGUUUAUUUAUUUAUUUAUUUUCAGAUCGCAAUGAAAUGCCACAGCUAAAAGUGAUUCAGAGUAAAGGUUUAGAACAUCCAUCACUGAUUGUUCAGAAAUGUCUGUUUUUGUUUUUCUUAGCAUAUCAAACAAAUUUAACAAUGAAACAAAAGGUGCACACUCUUUGCUUGUGUCAGUUUUUUUUUUCCUCGUUUGUGUGUAGUUUUGAUUAUUGUGCCAAUGCGUUGUUAUUUCCUGCUUUGCAGGUUGAUUAUUUUGUUUGUGCGAUAAGCAGAUACUUCCCCAAAAGGAAUUGUCUGUAUGAGUGAGACAUAAUCGCUCUCUGAGCUUCUCUACAAACACGUGUUCAGUUUGACUGCAAGUCUGGUGGUCUAAUCACUGAUCCAGUAUAAAGGGUCCCGAAUGGCAGCUCAUUGUUCCCUGCACACCCGUUUCCUCUUUUGCCAGGAUAUGAUGUCUUUGCAUAAGUGAUUCUGCCACAUAUAUUGUGUUCGACUUCUGUUUUUUAUUAUCUGUAUUUUGGCACUGUUAUUCUGUUGGUUUCUUCAUAUGACUCUGUCACCAAAUCAUAUUCCUUGUAUGUGUAAACAUACCUGGCAAUAAAGCUCUUUCUGAUUCAGCUCAGGAAAAACAAGUCCAUAUUUACUCGCCAGCAUCUUUAACUUACAAUAAAGUGGAUCUGGGAUUUUUUUUAUGUAAUAUGUAUUUUAAUUUAUAAACUAUGUAAAUAGGUUUAUGAAAUAAAGUUAAGCUAUUAUAAAAU